CCCUCCUCUGGGGAGAAUAAGACAAGCUACUGCUGGGCUAGUGGCAGUAAAGAAACAAGCUUUUCUAAGCUGAAAGGCUAUGCCAGAGGGGAACAGCCAAAUCUGAGUGCAUGCUUGGGGAAGGAUGGACACCCCAGGGCAAACAACAGGACAACACCCUGCCCCAGUGAGGAGGCAGCGAAAGGAAAGAAGAGAAAACAAGAUUAAAGAAUUAUGAAGAAAGGAAAAGACAGUAAAAUGUUGAUGAAACACAGACAAGGGAUACUUGGAAAACACAUAAAUCAGCCAGGAUCAUUGAUGAAGACAUUGAACACAAUUGGGCCAAGAACUGAUCCCAGCAGGAUCCCAUUAGAAACACCCCCAGUUACAAUUAGUUUUUGAGAUCUCUCAUUUAACCAGUUUCUGAUCCACUUAAUAUGCACCACACUGAUUCUUUUAAAGUGCUAGAAUAUAUUUGGUGAUGAGUUAAAUGCCUUCGAGAACUCUAAGGACCAGACUUACAAAGAAACUUAGGUGUGGUGAUGCUGAUACCCGCCCCAAACCUAAAUAGAAAAGCACCAGCGUUCACAAAGCCCUGUACAAUGUGAAUAUGGAGAGCAGCACUCUAGACUGGGAUUCACAAAAGCCGGCCUGCUAGGUAGCUCCUCACAUGAGAGAGCCAAUUGUGUUCGCUAAUGUGAGGAUUGUUCUGUUUCCUGCCAUCUCCUCCCCUGCUGUCUUGAUGAUCCUGUUUACUACUUAUCUGUACAUUGAGAUAAACACAUUCCUUUGCUUAGGAUUGAUCAUUUUGGCAACUUCUGCCCAAGCAGAACAUGUACAUCGUACGGGAGAAUUCAUAACUAACCAAAAGAAGGUU